UUUAGAGAUAGAGGCGCGAUGCUUAAGAGUACCCUUAUGGAGGUAAGCACUAUGAAGUAUUGGGAAAGGAAUCAUCGCCGAAGUAAAUGGCUAUUGCUUUAACGCUAUAUUACUGGUUUUGCAUAUAAUAUAUGUAUGACUGUCACAAUUUUUGUGGAGCGCUAUCCUGAGC
rnacentral:ncRNA from 2 species